CUUGUCUUAUGACUAUUUCUUGUUUCUCUUUGAUUAUAGUUUGAUUCCUUUCAAUGAUAACUAUCUUACUUAUUAAAAGUUUAUGCUUAGGUCAUGAUGAUCAUAUGAAAGUUCAUACCAGACCUUCCUCUCAAGCAACUCAAACAGUUCGUAAAUUUUAUGUUUUCUUCACCAAAUGCAUCAACAUAAUCUUUUAAGAAGACAAUGUAAUGUUUCCGUAUAAGGUAUUACUCUUCUAAGAUCGACAAAUAAUGAAUUGCAAAGAAACCUAAAGAUGACAACUAAAACAUACAGAAACAGUAUAUAUCCUAAGAAUAUGACGUUAAAAAAGGCUUUGGUAAAUUAAAAAUAAGGAUUUGGUAAAUAAUUGAAUAAUUUAAUAGAGCUGAGCCUGGUCUUUCUUGUCCAUAUAGGAAUAUUCUUUGAUCUAGCUAAUGGAGCAUUUGCCUGCAGAACAAUCAAAGAGCUGAAGCACUAUAUGAACAUUAACGAAUCUCCACAAAUUCUACUAGGGAUUAUUGGUAGAUUCAGAAGCAAUAAGUCAGCAAAAGAGAGACUCCCGCCAGGGCCGUGGAAGCUGCCGUUCAUAGGAAAACAAUUUACGAACUGGUGGUCCCUUGACCCAUAGGGUAUUGACAGACUUGGCCAAGAAAUACGGGCCCUUAACGCACCUUCAGCUUGGAGAAAUCUCUACAAUAGCUGUUUCUUCCCCCGAAACUGCAAAACAAGUGUUGGAAACUCAUGGCAUCGUUUUUGCUUCGAGGCCUCAGAACCUUGUAUCAAAGAUUAUAUCUUAUGAUUCCAAAAACAUUGCCUAUGCUCCAUACGGAGAAUAUUGGAGACAGAUGAGGAAAAUCUGCACAUUGGAACUUUUGAGCACCAAGCGCGCGCGUUCAGUCGUUUUGUUCACUUAGAGAAGAAGAGUAUGCAGGUCUCACCAAAUGGCAGCUUCCAAUGAUGGUUCACCAGUUAAUCUUGCAGAAAAGCUAUAUUCAGCUAUGUCUAGUGUAAUUUCAAGAGCAGCAUUUGGAAAAAGAUAUAUACAAGGACCAUGAAGCACUUGUACCUGUACUAUAUCAAGUUAUUAAAUUGGCAUCAGCAUUCAACAUUGCAGAUCUCUAUCUUUCCAUCAAGUUGUUGCAAUGAAUGAGUGGACUAAGGCUCAAAUUGGAGAAGUGCCAUAAUGAAGUAGACCGGAUGCUUGAAGACAUUAUCAUCGACCAUAUAGCAGCAAGGAAUGGUGCCACAGCCACCAAGAUUGAUGAUGACGACGACAUGGUGGAUGUCCUUUUAGAAUUUCAGAAGACAGAAAAUCAACUAACUAGUGACAACAUUAAAGAAGUAAUUUGGGUAAGCUAUUUGUUUUAGAUCUACUAUCUCUGGUUCAUAUUCUGUCUUUGUAUAACUAAUAACCCCUUAGUAUUUCUCUAAACUAUCUUUUAUUUCUAUCUUAAACAUCUCACUUAAUUAACACAUCUAAUUAGAACAGUAAGGUGAAUCUGGAAAAAAGGUAAUAAAUGCUUCUUGUUUUCAUUCAAAACAUUAACUGUUUAGGAACAAUUUCCAUUUGGUCAAAACCACUAAUAAGUCAGGAGGCAAUGAUAAAAACAUAAAAAGUAUCUUUUCUGUGACAGUUUAAGUUUUUAGUUGAUAUGAUCACUCAUUUCAAUUGCAUCUAAGUCUUUUUUUCCUAGCAUUAAAAUUUGAUAUAUGUUCAUGUUAGGACAUGUAUGCAUGUCAGAAAUGUUAAACAAUCCUAGUGUCCUAGAAAGAGGUCAAGAAGAGGUCCAACUUAAGGUGGUGUGAAUGACACAUACUUUGAUGAAUUGAAAUAGCUAAAGGUCCAUCAUCUAAGGUUACACCCACCAGCCACUCUAUCAGUCAGUUGGUAGACUGAGCAGCAAAACAUGUGAGACUGAUGGUCAUGAAAUACAACUUUUGGUGAAUGCUUGGGCAAUUGGAAGGGAUCCAAGAUAUUGGGAGGAUGCAGAAUGCUUUAAGCCAGAGAGAUUUCUCGAUAAGUCGAUUGACUUUGUUUGAGUUCAUCCCAUUUGGUGCUGGAAAAAGGAUUAUGUCAUUUUGGUGUAGCAAAUAUUGAGCUUCCUCUUGCCCUUUUCCUUUACCAUUUUCCCUUAUGGCAUGAAAUAUGAAGACAUGGAUAUGACACAGGAAUUUCGUUUGACUGUGGGCGGAAAACAGGAUAUCUUUGUCCACAAACUAUUUUAGCUUUCAUAAUAGAGAUGACUUUUCGUUUUC